CCAGAGACCCCUCCUGGCCACCUGGUACCUGGGCGCUGUCUUCUGUCGUCUGCACAGAGCCCCUCCUGGGCCUACCUUUCCUGCCGGUGCCCCGUGUUUUCUGGACCUUUUUGCAUCUGUCGCUGUGAUCAAAACCGAUCUCCGUAGUUCCAUCAAGCAGUGAGUUGCUAAUGAGGGAUCACAUCUUUCCACAUCCCUGAACCUCAGUUUUUAAAUCUACACAACACGGCUACUAAUAAUAUUGAUCCUCAGUGUUAUUAUGAAGGUGACAAAUAGGUUAUGCACCCAUCUGGCACCAUGUCUGAAGUAUUCGAUAGGUGGAAGACAUUGUUUUUAAAUGGACUCAAUGCACACAUUGUUUUCUCUAAAAACCUUCGAUGCCCGUGUGGGCUUCUGCUCUUCCUCUGUGCUUCAGAGCCCGUGGGAAUAAUUCACGGAGUCCUGCAUAUACGUCCACACUGGAUAGACUCUGGUGGUCGGCAGGAUCACCCCCGCCGUCUGCGGAGAUGCCCGCGCCCUGACCGCGGCACCUGCUGUAGGCUCUGUCUCUGGCAGGAGGGAAUUAAGGCUGCAGAUCAUCGGACUGUGAGAUGGGAGGAGAAACAGGAAGUGGGCAUCACAUAUCCACAGUGCUGGCUGGGCAGAUCCUGACCACAAAGCUUCUGGGUUCCAACACUCCUGUCUCCCGGAAUGGAAACACGGGCUUGCGGAGGAAGUCUUUGCUAUCAUACCACAUUUCCAAGGAUUGUGUUCUGAACUGCAAACCUGCACUGACCUUCUUAACCACCUCCUAGCAACAGACUGCGGUUUCAGUGAGUUUCUAAAAACUUCUAAAGUGUGGUGUAUUCUUAUCAGCGAAAAGGAAAGACUCUUACCUGCAUUCCACCUGACCAGGUGGGCAGAACACACAGUUACCUGCUUGGAGUACACAAUGGAUCCCUUUGACUUCCUGUACUGAGGGCGGGCGGCCAACGGCUCUCACUUCACCUACGCCAGUGGCUUCCGUGGAGUGGCAGGUCUCCUUGUUUAUCAUGGUUUUGAUUUUUGAAGAUAGGCAUUUCUUUGGGAACUAUCAAUAACCAAAUAGGCUUGUCUUGUGUCGAAUUAAAACUAGACUGGAAGGACACGGCAGCACUCAGGGCUUAGCUGUUGACAGGCCAUACUGAGAUUUAGAAAGGUGUGGGCGCCUCCACCCCACCCCUCCUAACAACUUAGACCACGUCCAACCACAAAGCUGUGGAUGGGUAAAAACGUGGACUCUACAGUCCCACAGACUUGGCUUGAAACCCCGCUCUGAUUUUAGAUUAAGACAUAGCUCAGUUACCAGAAGGGUAACUGAGUGAAAUCUGGUGUCUCCUGACAUGGUGCUCUAAAAAGGAACACCAAUUACGUAGCAUUCCUGCCAGGAGUACACAGUCUAAAUGUAAUCAUGACGACACAGGUCUGACCAAAUUAAAGGACAUGCUUCAAACCAGCGGAUCAGUAUUCUUCAAAAAUGCCGAUGUGAAAGAAAACGAAGGGCAGUGAGUUGUUCCAGUUAAUAGGAGACUAGAGACGUGACAGCUAAGGCAAUGCUUGAUCCUAGAUCCGAUUCUGGACUGAGGGAAAAGUUUCUAGAAAGGACAAUAUUGGGACAAUUGACAAAAUUUGAAUAUGGAUUAUAAAUUAGAUAAUUGUACUGUAGCAAAGUUAGGUUUCCUGAAUUUGAUCAUCGCACUGAUGGCGUAAGACAUUUUCCUGUUCUUAGGAGAUGCAUGAUGAUGAAUUCAGGGCUGAAAGGGCAUAAUCUCUGUAAUUGACGCUUAAGUGGUUCAAGAAGAAAACUAGAAUAAGAAAUAAUGAGGACUGAUGACUAUACUUGACGAUACUGUAUUGAUACUUCAAGUCAAUCGUAGAAGUUCUCUCCACAUACACACGGAAAGGUAACUAUGUGAAGUCACAGAUAACUAAUUUUAUCGUA